rnacentral:misc_RNA from 1 species
UCCCCGUUAACCGGGGCAGCACCUGUGUCCAGGUUCCCUUUCGGGCACCCCUCCAUCUCUGGAGGGUUCCUGGCAUGUCAAGGGUAGGUAAGGUUUUUCGCGUUGCAUCGAAUUAAUCCACAUAAUCCACCGCUUGUGCGGGUCCCCGUCAAUUCCUUUGAGUUUUAACCUUGCGGCCGUACUCCCCAGGCGGUCAACUUCACGCGUUAGCUUCGUUACCAAGGAAUUGCUUCCCCGACAACCAGUUGACAUAGUUUAGGGCGUGGACUAC